rnacentral:lncRNA from 1 species
UGUCGGUUCACUCUUGACUUGAUUGAGGAGGUUUUGAUUUAGGUCUCAAUUGGGUUUGCUACAUCACAUGUAAACCUAUCUACCCGACUCGCAUUCACAUCACAUGCAAACGGCACAUCACAGGCAGUUAUAAUCGCAGCAUCAAAUUAAAGCUAAACUUUAAAUAGGUGAUGAUCAUGGAUUCUAGUUAGGUCGUAUUACAAGCACAUGCACGUCAAUCGAUCAACGGGUCUUCAACUCUUGAAUUGGUUCCAAGCCUCCUUGAUUCGAUCCUUGACCAACUCUUGAUCCAAUCGCCAUCAACCGCUUAGACCCCUGUUCAUCUCAUGCAUCGUCUUCGACUUGAUCGUUGACGUACAUCACAUCACAGAAAUACAACCAGAUGUAAAAUAAAAAUAAAAAUAAAUUACAUCUCCUUUUAGGAGGCACGCAGGCCUCUCAGAACAUCAAAUAAGAUGCAUGCAAGCAUUUGAAAAAUUACAUG